UCCUUUAAUGGUUGAGUGGGCAAA
rnacentral:siRNA from 1 species